rnacentral:rRNA from 1 species
UUGGAGGGCAAGUCUGGUGCCAGCAGCCGCGGUAAUUCCAGCUCCAAUAGCGUAUAUUAAAGUUGUUGCAGUUAAAAAGCUCGUAGUUGAAUUUUGGGUCUGGCCGGGCGGUCCGCCCUCCGGGUGAGCACUGUUCCGACGCCGGGCCUAUCCUUCUGGUGAGUCGGCAUGUCCUUUACUGGGUGUGUCGGGGAACCAGGACCAUUACCUUGAAAAAAUUAGAGUGUUCAAAACAGGCGUAUGCUCGGAUACAUUAGCAUGGAAUAAUGAAAUAGGACGCGUGGUGCUAUUUUGUUGGUUUCUAGAACCGCCGUAAUGAUUAAUAGGGAUAGUUGGGGGCAUUAGUAUUCAAUUGUCAGAGGUGAAAUUCUUGGAUUUAUUGAAGACUAACUUCUGCGAAAGCAUUUGCCUAGGAUGUUUUCAUUAAUCAAGAACGAAAGUUAGGGGAUCGAAGACGAUCAGAUACCGUCGUAGUCUUAACCAUAAACUAUGCCGACUAGGAAUCGGGCGAUGUUAAAUUUUAUUGACUCGUUCGGCGCCUUACGGGAAAC